UUUUAUUGAAUGAUUCACUUUCCACAACUGUUAUUACUUCUCCAGCCUACUUUGAGUUUGCAAUAGUGACUGAAAUGUUCUUAGACAAGCAGAUGGGAAAAUGGCCUGUAAAUCUUUAUUGUUAUAAAUGGUUUGUAAAACUUUGAAUGUUGAAAGGUAAGAGUAGUUCAAAUAAAUCUCAACAAUGAUGACUCAAAGGUUUCAAGUAUUGCCUAAUUCCCUUGAUUAACCCAGCUUCUCAGUAUUUGACAUGAAUCAGUAACUCUGAGAUCUCUUUGCUGUUCUCUAGCUUCGUAAAUAUUUAUGCAGCCAGUCCCAUGAAAUAUCAUAUUUAAUCCCAUUGAAGUAAUUCUUGGUAUGCUGCAUGUGAAGAGAUAUAAAGUAUAAUAGUUCAGGGAUGCUAGUUAAAUAAUUGGCACUAAGGAUGAAAUCUGCUGCAUUUCUUUUGUCAAUAACCAGGAUUUAUACAAUGUAAGUGUGAGUGAAUGGAAAGCAAAAUCCACCGUCUGUCACAAAUCUUGGGCCAGCUGCUGGGAAUGCAGAUUUCUUGAUCCUGGCUUGUGCCUGAGCCUGUGGCUCAGCAUUAACAGCAGCCUUUUGUUCCACUUAAAUGAGGUGUUGAGAGCUAGAUCAGGGCAAAUAGUGAAAGGAUGGCACCUCUGUUAGCUUGUCCUGAGCCUUGCCUUUCUGGGAUAUGCUAUAAUGAAUGGUCUCUCCACUCCCGGGAAAAGGAAGAUGUGCUACCCAAAGUUUCCAGAACCGGGGAAAGCUUUCUGUUGGAAUCUCAGUGCAAACGGGGGUAGUAGACCCCAGAUUGUGUCUGGGAUUCCUGCUAACACACAAGAUUUACAUCAGGUUUGUAUUUAAAUGGUUUAGCUUACGAAGAACAGUGAUACGCUUGUUCCUAAGACACCGCACUGUUAGUCAUUGUUUACUGAUUCAGUCUGAUUCAUCUGUGGAUUCUGCCAGGUUUUGCAGUUGUACUCCUUGCCUUUAGGUAUUCCUGAAGUAGAAGGGGUUGUGGAAUAAUGAGGAAGCAGAGAAAGAUCACAGUGACACAAGAUAUUCAGAGUUCACCAACAAGAAAUCAGAAGUGAAUCUUCCUUCAGAGAUGCUCCAUUCUUCUGUAAAAUUGGACCUUUCUGUGCUUGUAGGAUGGAUUCCUAAGCUAUACGAAAGCCUACCAUAGCGUGUUCAUUGGCUUUCCUAUGAAGGGAUGAGAGAAAAGGGCUGCCCAGUUCUCAAAUCCAUAAUCCAUCCAAAGCCUUUAGGCCUUCCUUCUAUGGAAUUUUUCAGGCUGUAAUCAAAAAUGAAAUACAUUUCUACAGGUUCUUUUAAAAUUGUUCUCUAUAUCAUAGGCAUCCUGCCUGUUAAAAAGUGGAGAAAAAGAUUACGUUCUGUGUCAUAUAUGUAGAAGUAUUUUAGUUUCUUAUUUUCUUUAUCACGCCGAACCCCUGAAGAACUCUUCAGUAUAUGAAAAGGUCUUCAUGCAGAAGUACUACAGUGGUGCUGUGCUUCUGUAGCCCAGUUUGGCCACUGCAUGAUCCAAGCAGAGAGAUGUAUGCUCAAAAGGACAGUGCACCGCAGAAAAUGUGAUGUGCAAAGUCAAUGAAAUUACUGUCAGUUUUCCUGAGUGUGUACUUACACAGCCCUUAGGAGGUGGUUUUGCCUGUGUUUUUGCCUAUAUGUCCAUAAAUAUAUAUAAUUUUCAUUGGGGCAAAAUUCAGAUGAUUACAUUUGGAUUUCUAGUGGAUUCUUCUGCAGCUUUGUUUCCAUGUUAUGUUAUAUUGCUUGUCUUAUUAACUAUUUCUCCCCUCCCAAGCUAAGACUGGGUAGUAUCUGCACAAUGUCGCUUAUAUUUAGCAAUGUACUCUGAGGUACUUUGAAAGAGAAAAAUCAUGUUUAUGCACAAAGGUUUGCAUUUUCAGCCACACCUGAAAGCCCAGGAGAUUUAAAGAGGAUUUGAUACAGUUGAAAAUCAGGCUAGAGAUGGUACAUCAAAUUAUGAAUUAAAACUUUCAGAGCUGAAAAUAUAAAACUAAUUAUCUUGGUUAAGAAAAAGUAAAAUCUUUUAAUUCACUCUGAUCAAUUAGUGUUAGUCUUUAGAAAGCAAAUGAACAAGUACAUAAAUAGCAAUGGAACAAAUUAACAGAGGAGUCUUGUGUGCAUAGACAUCUGCUCAGCCAACCAAAGUUCCUAAAGGUUCAGCUGCGAGUCUGGAAACCUAACCACUGAUGUCUAAAAUAGAAGACAUGGAAAUAGAUGGGGGGUUGGUUUGUUUGUUUGUUUUUCUCUUUCUACAUUGUGCAGUUUACCACAAACAGACAUAAAAAGAAGGCCACGGGUAAUGGUUGUGAUCAGGGAUUGCUUGAAGGGCAUAUGCCUUCGCUCACCACAAAGCAAAGACAUGUCAAAGACAUGUUGCUUCAGCUACAGAACAUACAUGCAGGAAUCACUACAUACCUAGCAGCUGUGAGGAUUAAGUAAUCUGAUCAAUAUUUUCUGUGUCUUUUUAAAAUAAUAAUUAUUUGUACUUAAAAUAAGGAAUAAUGUUUUGUCAUCCACAUCUGAGGAAUAUCUUUUUUUUUUUUUGUCUUUGUUGCAUAGCGGAACUCAGAAUUCUUAUUGCAAAAAAAAAAAAGCCAGAGAGCAGACGAGAUAAAAUGACAGAUUCAGGUAAAACAUGAGCAGCCAGCUUACAACAAGCAAGUUCAGUGCGUGACAAUCUUCCUGCUCUUCCCUAGGGACCGGGCAGGACUGUUCAAGAAGGAGCAGAUGGAAGCAGCUGCCAACAGAUGCCUGCUGGAAAAGAUUCAAGCCACGGUACUUGCUGGAACUUGGGAGUUAGUAAUGGCCUGAGCUUACCCAUUGAGAGAGUUGCCCUGGCCAUUGGAUUUAACAUCUCUUUUGGAAGUACUUCAAACCAAAUGGCUGGCUCCAUCUCUAGCUUUGUUAAUUAAGCACAUUACUUAGUUGCUUUUUUCAUAUCGUUUAAUGUAAUUGGCAUUUGUGAAGCUUUUGAAAGGCAUGUUUGGGACUACGUUUUGUGCAGCUGGCUUAAACUGCAUGCUGCAUGAAGUGUCUAGCUCUGUAGAGGACAGCCUUUGAGAGUGUAACGCAUGUGUGCUCAGCACAUACCGUGCUUCCUUUCCAAAAGGAACAAAAGUGACCAGUGUGACACAUGUUUCUCCUGAAUACAUUUGUAUUUCUAUGGUAUUGUAUUUGUAAUGGGAGCAUUACGUGCCCUGUUUGAAGAACAGGACUCCCUCUACAAGCUGUUGUAUAAAUGCUUUGCUUUAAGAUGAUCUUCAUCCUAACCACCUUUAGGCAACCUUGACACAUAGGCACAAAAGCCUGUGGUUUUUCACAUAGAAGUGCAUCUUUGCAAGCCAUGAAUUUGGACUUGCUGUGGUAAUUCCAACAGAUAAGGGUGCCAAUACUAUGUCAACUGCCAAUAAGAUUGAUGAAUUUACACUAGGUAGGAAUUCCAGUUGUCUUCGUGUGACAUGAUAUUCUGUACCUGAACUGAGGAAGAGUUAGAUAUAAAAGUUUAGGAAAGAGCUAUAUAUGUAUGCAGUAAAAGAACAUAUAUGCGUAUGCACUAAAGAAAUUAUGACCAAGUCCUCUUUUUUCCAUAGCAAUGCUGCCCUCCAGUGGUCUAGGAAAAGAGCAUACAUAUUGCUUAUUUAUCGUAAUAAUGUAGUUUCCAUUUACACUGUACCUCUGUAUCAAAUGUACCUCUUAGUAUCACAGGUACAUGGGUUGUCUAGGCUCCAGCCUCAGGAAACCCACAGGUGGCAUUUGUAACAAAGGUAUUCCUAACAAAAAGGUAUUACUUUACCAGUACAGUGCUACCGACUCUCUUUGUAAAGAACUGACUAAAAAUGAAAACUCUUUCUCGCAGAUGGCAAGAUUGUAAUAGUCUGCCCCACAGCGACAGACAAAACCUCUGACUUCAACCAACCACAUGUAAGAAAAUGGUCACAAGUUGUAUGGACAUGUCUCUCAGGAUGUUUGUUCCCAAAUGUGAUGGAUUGUAAUGGAAAAAAACCAGCCUGGCCUGCCAUUCGGUCAGUCAGUCAGACAGAGAGUUCUGCAGAGAGUGGUUGUCAGUGAACCAUGAGGAUCCUUCAACCAUGAGAGCAUGAAUCACAAGCCACAGAAAAAAAUACAAGUUCUCCAAGUUUUGUCUUUCAGUUAUGGCAGCCAAGUGCAUUUGUUUUAGGAUUCAAAAGUAAAGCAUCAAUACCAAAGAAAAGAAUGUUGUAUGGCCAGAGUAUAAGGUAGAUGAUCUUUAGGUAUGUAAUCUCUGCCCUUGCUUACCUUUCCCUUGCGUGGCUUCAAACGCUCUUUCCAAAUGUGCAAGAUUGCUUCUCAGCUUGUCCUGUUCUACACCUGCAUGUUAAGCGGAGGUUACCAUGCAUGCUGAGGUGAUUUGCACCCCACUGAGGGACUUGGACGCCAGAGAAUUGCAUCCUGGUCCCACUGUCAUCUCCUGUUCCUGCGCAUCUGCCCCACCUGCCUUCUGUGAAAUCAAUGGGAGACCUUUACAAAGUUGGACUUUGAUGCAGACGUUGAGGGGCCAGUCCUGCCUCAGAGUCCCCUCCGAUCCACAGGAGCCUGGCCUGCUCUGCAGUGUGGUCCUGUGCCUCGAUGCCGAUUUAUCAUCUACCGUGGUCACAAGCACACAAAUGAGGAAGGAAUCCCUGUAGCUGCCACCUUCCCUGCCCCUCUGGCUUCAGAUAAGACAGCAAGCUCAGAGCAUGCCUCUGCCCCAGGAGGAAGGAGAAGCAAGUGCAUUGCUCUGCUUGACACAAGGCGGCUCACUCUUCUCCUCUCCAUGGAGCAUUGAUCUUCAAGGCCCCCAUGACUAAAGGACUGGGAAACAUUCCUAUGGAAUUAGCUGUUCUCUCGUUCUUUUUCCUGCUUAAGAGAGAUCCUGGCAUGUGGGAACCCCACCUCCCUUUGCUACUGGAGCUCAAGGCAUAAAAAAGGACUUUGUCUUCUGCCUGGGGAGGUACGGAAGGCAGCUGCUAUCAGAAAGGCAGGAGGAGGC